UAUGCCGGUAUAAUAGGUAUUAGAUACAAAAUAAACCUAAUAUAAAAUUCCUAAUGUUGACAAUGUUGUAAUUUUGAUCAAUUUUAAUUUGUUAAAGAAACCAAUAUUCACGAAGACUAUAGAGACUUCAGAAUAGAGAUGUCUACCAAGCCACUCAAAAUUGCAGCACAUUAUUUUGUGGGUAUAACUAUUAUGUAUAGGUAACUAAAUGUUAUUUUUGCAAUUCUUCUCGGAGGUGUGUAUUUCAUGUUGUGAAUUGGAUUAAUGUACUGGUAUCAUAUUACUAUAUCACUUCCAGAAACCACUCAACACAUUAAAACCCGUCUGUGAUGGAACUAAACUCAAUGACGUAAAUACACAAGACUUAUUUGAAGACUACAUUUCCUAUGGUUCCAAAAUAUGCUCAAAAUCACUUUAGUGAUUUAACUGUUUGUUAAAUGUAUUGGAUAUACUGAUGAAUUUGUGGAAAAAAAAAUCAUUUAUUAGUUUGUGAUAAACAUUUAUGGGAUUGUAUAAAUGUAGAAAAAAUAUCUGAAGACUAAAAUCCAUGUAAAGCAGUGAAUAUGAGAGAACACAUUAUUAUCAAUCAUAAUCUCUCUUAACAUUUUGGUUGAUAAUGUGAUAUUGUUUUAUAAAGUUAAUUGCAAAUACCUAUGUUGAAUAUUUUAUAUAUUUUAUUAAAUACAAUUUGUAUUUGCACAAUACUAAUCAAAAACAAAUAUCCUGAGUCUGAAAGCCAUGGAACACAAUGGAAAUUGAAAGUAUUCCAACCUAAAAUGGAAGCCAAUUAAUUGCAAUGGAAAAUGGAAAUUGGAUAUUAGUGAUCAAUUUGAGAUGAAAACAUUUUAAAUGCAUUCUUUCAAUCUAGUAUUUUAUAUAUUAUUUAUGAAGUGUGUUAGAAAUUAAAAUGUACACUAAUAUAUGAUAAUAAGUAAUGGCUUCAAGUAACCUUGUGAUUAAAACUAAUUUUGAGUACCACACCAAUAACCUAUAGAUUUUGA